UACAGAGACUGCAAGCGUUAUUCGGAUUCACUGGGCGUAAAGGGUGCGCAGGCGGCCAUGUGUGUGAGGCGUGAAAGCCCGAUGCUUAACAUCGGAAUUGCACCUCAAACUACAUGGCUAGAGCAUUGGAGAGGGUAGCGGAAUUCACGGUGUAGCAGUGAAAUGCGUAGAUAUCGAUGAGGAACACCAGAGGCGAAGGCGGCUACCUGGACAAUUGCUGACGCUCAGGCACGAAGCG
rnacentral:rRNA from 1 species